GUGCUUCGAUUUAGAAUUCCUACGCUUUACCGUAGAUAUUUUGUGAUCGGCAAAGCGUUUGGAUUCUGAAACGAAUUGC
rnacentral:pre_miRNA from 12 species